rnacentral:rRNA from 1 species
AUUGAACGCUGGCGGAAUGCUUUACACAUGCAAGUCGAACGGCAGCACGGGGGCAGCCCUGGUGGCGCGUUGCGAACGGGUGAGUAAUACAUCCGAACGUGCCCUGUCGUUGGGGAUAACGUAGCUAAAGGUACGCUAAUAUCGCAUACGAUCUUAGGUUGAAAGCGGUGGACCUAUGGUCCUCGCGCGAUCUGCUCUGCCUUUGUCAUAUUAGGUAGUUGGUGGGGUAAAGGCCUACCAAGCCGACGAUCUGUAGCUGGUCUGAGAGGACGACCAGCCACACUGGGACUGAGACACGGCCCAGACUCCUACGGGAGGCAGCAGUGGGGAAUUUUGGACAAUGGGCGAAAGCCUGAUCCAGCAAUUCCGCGUGAAGGAUGAAGGCCUUCGGGUUGUAAACUGCUUUUGUACGGGACGAAAAGGCGCUGGAUAAUCUCUGGGGGUCAUGACGGUACCGUAAGAAUAAGCACCGGCUAACUACGUG